AUCUUUCAGGUUCAUGAGUGUGAUGACUUGAGUGUUUAUGGCAUUGUGUGAGAUGUACCUCCCUAAAACCUUGUUGUGACAUUGGCACAUUACUCAUUUUGGUG